rnacentral:tRNA from 2 species
CGCUGGGUAGAGCAGUUGGCAGCUCGUCGGGCUCAUAACCCGGAGGCCGGAGGUUCGAGUCCUUCCCCAGCUA